rnacentral:rRNA from 1 species
GACGAACGCUGGCGGCGUGCCUAAUACAUGCAAGUCGAACGAGAGCGCCCGGUGCUUGCACUGGUCAAUCUAGUGGCGAACGGGUGAGUAACACGUGGGUAACCUGCCCAUCAGAGGGGGAUAACAUCCGGAAACGGAUGCUAAAACCGCAUAGGUCUUCGAACCGCAUUGUUUGAAGAGGAAAAGAGGCGCAAGCUUCUGCUGAUGGAUGGACCGGCGGUGCAUUAGCUAGUUGGUGAGGUAACGGCUCACCAAGGCCGUGAUGCAUAGCCGACCUGAGAGGGUGGUCGGCCACAGUGGGACUGAGACACGGCCCAAACUCCUACGGGAGGCAGCAGUAGGGAAUCUUCCGCAAUGGACGCAAGUCUGACGGAGCAACGCCGCGUGAGGGAAGAAGGUUUUCGGAUCGUAAAACUCUGUUGUUAGAGAAGAACAAGUGCUAGAGUAACUGUUAGCGCCUUGACGGUAUCUAACCAGAAAGCCACGGCUAACUACGUG